rfam:Oryza sativa (indica cultivar-group) chromosome 1, whole genome shotgun sequence.
CCUAAAUGUUGACGCCGUUGACUUUUUUAAACAUGCUUGACCGUUCGUCUUAUUCAAAAACUUUAAGUAAUUAUUAAUUCUUUUUCUAUCAUUUGAUUCACUGUUAAAUAUACUUUUAUGUAUACAUAUAGUUUUACAUAUUUCAUAAAAGUUUUUGAAUAAGACGAACGGUCAAACAUGUUUAAAAAAGUCAACGGCGUCAAACAUU